GACAGCCCCGUACACAAAAAUGCACAUAUUGUGAGCUCGAUGAGUAGGGCGGGACACGUGGUAUCCUGUCUGAAUAUGGGGGGACCAUCCUCCAAGGCUAAAUACUCCUGACUGACCGAUAGUGAACCAGUACCGUGAGGGAAAGGCGAAAAGAACCCCGGCGAGGGGAGUGAAAAAGAACCUGAAACCGUGUACGUACAAGCAGUGGGAGCACGCUUAGGCGUGUGACUGCGUACCUUUUGUAUAAUGGGUCAGCGACUUAUAUUCUGUAGCAAGGUUAACCGAAUAGGGGAGCCGAAGGGAAACCGAGUCUUAACUGGGCGUUAAGUUGCAGGGUAUAGACCCGAAACCCGGUGAUCUAGCCAUGGGCAGGUUGAAGGUUGGGUAACACUAACUGGAGGACCGAACCGACUAAUGUUGAAAAAUUAGCGGAUGACUUGUGGCUGGGGGUGAAAGGCCAAUCAAACCGGGAGAUAGCUGGUUCUCCCCGAAAGCUAUUUAGGUAGCGCCUCGUGAAUUCAUCUCCGGGGGUAGAGCACUGUUUCGGCAAGGGGGUCAUCCCGACUUACCAACCCGAUGCAAACUGCGAAUACCGGAGAAUGUUAUCACGGGAGACACACGGCGGGUGCUAACGUCCGUCGUGAAGAGGGAAACAACCCAGACCGCCAGCUAAGGUCCCAAAGUCAUGGUUAAGUGGGAAACGAUGUGGGAAGGCCCAGACAGCCAGGAUGUUGGCUUAGAAGCAGCCAUCAUUUAAAGAAAGCGUAAUAGCUCACUGGUCGAGUCGGCCUGCGCGGAAGAUGUAACGGGGCUAAACCAUG
rnacentral:rRNA from 1 species